UCAACUUCCAUUUCUUGUCCUCCAAAAAUUAUUUUGAUGAUGUAAACCCACUAUAUUGAGGUCCCUAAGUAGCGUGGAAGCAUCGUUGGAGCGAUCAACCCAUUAUUUUCAUCUUUUGGAAACCCUAGGCUAUUGGAAAGUUGAAGAAGGAAGACCUUGGGCAGCCCGAAUCAUAGGUUGGAUUUAGCUUGAGUUUGGAUCGUAUUGGAGAGCGUUUGAGGUACAGACGCACAGCCUGGUGAUCCACCUGUUUAGGACACCCUUUCUGCUAUUCGGAGUGCUCCUCUCUUUCCGGAGCUUAUACUUUUGGUAUAUAUAUUUAUUAGUGCAUUUGUAUAUAUUCGUUCAUGGGUACGGCGGGGCCCUGUCCCGUCAUAUGAUUCUGUCGGUCUGUUUAGAGGUCUGUGGACAUGUUUGUGGGUUAGGGUCUUUCUGUAUGAAUGUAUGUACAUGUCGUUUGGGCGAUCCCAUACGCCGAGGCGGCCGGUCCGCAUAUGUUGUUUGGGCGACCCUAUACUCCGAGGCGGCCGGUCCGCAUAUGUUUAUAUAUUGCUUGGUUAGCCCUGUGUGACUUUCGUUGGUA